rnacentral:lncRNA from 1 species
CUCUGAAGGUGCCUGCUCGUGGGGACAGCUUGCAAAUGUCCUGGAGCCAUGCCAGUAACAGCUCAGCGGCUUUGGGCUGUGGGAACUCCAUGUUCGUGAGGGAACAGAGGCCACUUUGAUGUAGGGAUGAACCAGGGUUGCUAGGGCUUUUGCAGCCCCAAGCAGGUGACCUCUGAGAAAAGACUGGAAGAGGGAGGAGACAUGGAGGUCCUGUGGAGCCAUGGUUGAAGGCCUGGAGCAGGAGCCUGAUGCAGGCAAAGAUCCACAAAUAAAAGAGGUCAGAGGUAUUGAGUUGGAGGUUGAGAAUCCAUGAGAGAGAUUGGGAGAUCGCUGGCCAUUGGAUACCCGUUGGCUUUGAUGCCGGGGUGGUCUGGAGGCUGGGGCUUCUGAGCUCAAGAGAGAUGGAUUUGAUUUGGUUUGCAAAAGCUGUGCUGGGGUAGGGUGGACACAGAGAGCAUACAGGACAACAGAAGCAAGGAGACCAGCUGGGUGGCUCUUGUUAUCACCCAGGCAGGAGCGUGUGGUGCUGAGCUGUAAGGCUGCUGGCCUGGUCUUUGAUGUCAGAGCCCCACUUCCUGGAAGCAGAUAUGCUGGGCUCAGAUAAGAGUGUGCUGGUCUGGAGCCUCACCAGGGGCCAGGCACCACCUACGCACUGUGCAUGCCUUGACUUACAGGUCUAGCUAUCAAAGAAGCAAGUGUGAGGACCAGGGUUAAUUGGGGCAGGGAAUGGCCACAGAACUGAGGCUCAAAGCCAGAGCCUGUGUAGUCAGCCAUGAGGUCUCCAGGGGGAACUCGGUGACAAGUGUCUUUGCCCCCCAUCCCUGCCUGGGAUCCAUAGUUGUGGCAAUCCGUCUGCUCAGCCCCGGGGAAGAUGAGCUCUAAUACCGCUCCUUGGAGGAGUGCAUGGAGCAGGAGUUCCCCAGGUUUGUGGGAUCUCUUGUACACCCCUGUUUCCUGUAGCAGGAGAGCUGCCCUGUGCAUGCUGUAAAGAAAUGGUGGCUUUGUGUCACUCUGUACCAAGGGGUGCUGGAUUUGAAUGCAGCA